CGUCUGGAAGCGAUGCGUUGCGGACUUGUCGCCGUGCUAGAAGGUGGACUCGUAGAAACACCGCCAAAAGAGCUGGAGCAUGUCGUGAUUCCUGAAGCAGUUGUAUCACUGCCCGUAGUCGACGAUAAAACGCUGCUUUGCCUCGAAGAGCGCUGGAUGGCCUAAGGAGGGUGCCGGAAGUACCGUUUGUUUGGGCAGCUAAUAUCUCUGGAGCGAUUAAAGCGAUAUCUGGCAAAGAAUUUGGCGCGGAUACGACAGUUCCGUGGCAACUAUUCAAAUCAAUGUUUCGUUGUCGUUCAGUUUCUUCCGGUAAUCUCAGGUGACGCAAACGUCUCAUCGAAGCCCGUACCCAAGAAUUGACAAGCGUAGGAUUGUCACGUGUUUCGCGAUCGAUGGUUUCGUUGCUCGCGUUGCAACGUAUAUUUUCAUCUUGAUUAUUGCCGUUACAGUCGGACGGCGGAUCGGAAGUUAACCAUCGCGAACCACCGACCACUAGGGACUUUACUGUCCCGGAGACAGACAUCGCGGCACUGCAGCCCGCCUCGGUAGCACGAUGCUCGCGACCGCGCCUGCGUCUUGCGUUUUCACUGGUGGGGGAUGCAUUCCCUCCUUCGGUGUUCUCCUGAACCGCGUCAACCACACCGGGUGCUAACGACUCCGUAGCCCGCGGACAUUCUACUUCCUCUAACCACGACCAAUCUACUUCCGAACAUUCUGAACAUCCGUCCUCUUGAUCCUCUCCAUUCGUUUCCAAUCCUUCCUCCGUUGAACAACUGUAGACAAUCACAAUUUUUAGUUUAUCGUUUCCUGUGUUUAUCUUAGAAUUAUUACGUAUCUUAAUUUAAGAGAGAAUAUAAAUUAUACUUUAAGAAUAUAAAUUAUUCUUCCUGGCUUUGUUAGGCGUGCUACCUAGAUAUCUUAUAGAUGAUAAGAAAAUACUAUAUACCUUAGGAAG
rnacentral:misc_RNA from 1 species